UACGGAGGGUGCGAGCGUUAAUCGGAAUUACUGGGCGUAAAGCGUGCGCAGGCGGCUGUUUAAGUUGGAUGUGAAAUCCCCGGGCUCAACCUGGGAAUUGCAUUUGAUACUGGGAAGCUAGAGUAUGGGAGAGGGUGGUAGAAUUCCAGGUGUAGCGGUGAAAUGCGUAGAGAUCUGGAGGAAUACCGAUGGCGAAGGCAGCCCCCUGGACUAAGACUGACGCUCAGGUGCGAAAGCGUGGGGAGCAAACAGG
rnacentral:rRNA from 1 species